GACGUAGGGACCGAGCGUUGUCCGGAUUUAUUGGGCGUAAAGCGCGCGCAGGCGGCCGUGCAAGUCGGGUGUGAAAAUCCGGAGCUCAACUCCGGACCUGCAUUCGAAACUGCACGGCUAGAGGCAGGUAGGGGAGAGGGGAAUUCCCGGUGUAGCGGUGAAAUGCGCAGAUAUCGGGAGGAACACCGGUGGCGAAGGCGGCCAUCUGGACCGGUUCUGACGCUGAGGCGCGAAAGCGUGGGGAGCAAACAGG
rnacentral:rRNA from 1 species